rnacentral:rRNA from 1 species
ACGAACGCUGGCGGCGUGCUUAACCCAUGCAAGUCGAACGGAAAGGCCCUGCUUUUGUGGGGUGCUCGAGUGGCGAACGGGUGAGUAACACGUGAGUAACCUGCCCUUGACUUUGGGAUAACUUCAGGAAACUGGGGCUAAUACCGGAUAGGAGCUCCUGCUGCCUGGUGGGGGUUGGAAAGUUUCGGCGGUUGGGGAUGGACUCGCGGCUUAUCAGCUUGUUGGUGGGGUAGUGGCUUACCAAGGCUUUGACGGGUAGCCGGCCUGAGAGGGUGACCGGCCACAUUGGGACUGAGAUACGGCCCAGACUCCUACGGGAGGCAGCAGUGGGGAAUAUUGCACAAUGGGCGGAAGCCUGAUGCAGCAACGCCGCGUGCGGGAUGACGGCCUUCGGGUUGUAAACCGCUUUCGCCUGUGACGAUGCGUGAGUGACGGUAAUGGGUAAAGAAGCACCGGCUAACUACGUG